UCCACAAAAAAAGAAAGCAUGCAAAUCGUUUCCGUUUGCAUGCUUUUUUUAUGCGCUUGCUGAUUCCUUUUUCACAU
rnacentral:antisense_RNA from 3 species